AUGUGCCGGUGCCUGUAUGAGGACCCCAGGCUUCACCAUGGCUCCUGCCAUACCCUCAACCACGACCACCCACGCCUUGGAGGCCAGCAGGUAGACUCGGCCCCGAAGGGGCAGCCGUGGCAAGAGCACCACUCAGCCACGACCGGAAGGGCAGGAGGAGACGGCUCCUCACCCCUCCCUUUCUCUUUUGUCCACCCACACCGCUUCUCAGAGAGCCAAGCCGCCCCCACCCUCUUCCCCCUGGUCUCCUGUGAGAACUCCUUGCUGGAGCAGAGCAAAGUGACAGUUGGCUGCCUGGCGCGGGACUUCCUGCCCGACUCCCUGUCCUUCUCCUGGAAGUACAAGAACCAAUCAGAUGUCAGAAGCGUGCAGAACUUCCCGCCCAUCCUGAAGAAGAAUGGCAAGUACAUGGCCACCUCGCAGGUGUGGCUGCCCUCCCAGGAUGUCCUGCAGGGAACAGAUGACCACCUGGUGUGCAAAGUCAAGCACAACAAUGGCAAUAAGGACCUGAACGUGCCUCUCCCAGCGAUUGAGGAGCAGGCCCCCAACGUGAGCAUGUUUGUCCCGGAUCGCAACGCCUUCCAUGGCUCCCCCCGCAAGUCCAGUCUCAUCUGCCAGGCCACAGACUUCAGCCCCCAGCAGAUCAAGGUGUCCUGGCUACGUGACGGGAGGCAGGUGGAGUCUGGUGUCACCACAGACCCCGUGAAAGCUGAGGUCAAGGGGUCUGGGCCCAAGACCUUCAAGGUUACCAGUACGCUGACUGUGAGUGAGAGUGACUGGGUCAGUCAGAAAAUGUUCACCUGCCGUGUGGAUCACAGGGGUCUGGUCUUCCAGAAGAACGUGUCCUCCGUGUGCAACGUCGGUCCAUCCCCUGGUAUCCAGGUCUUUGCCGUGCCCCCCUCCUUUGCCAGCAUCUUCCUCACCAAGUCCACCAAGCUGACCUGCCUGGUCACCGACCUGACCACCUACGACAGCCUAAACAUCUCCUGGACCCGCCAGAGCGGCGAGAUGCUGCUGACUCACAUGAGCAUCUCCGAGAGCCACCCCAAUGGCACGUUCAGCGCUAUGGGCGAGGCCAGUAUCUGUGAGGACGACUGGAACUCAGGGGAGCGGUUCACAUGCACUGUGCGCCACACGGACCUGCCCUCACCAAUCAAGCAGGACGUCUCCAGGACCAAGGGGAUGGCCCAGCAUAAGCCCGAGGUGUACCUGCUGCCGCCGCCCCGGGAGGAGCUGAGUCAGCAGGAGUUGGCCACCAUCACCUGCCUGGUGAAGGGCUUCUCCCCGGUAGAUGUGUUUGUGCAGUGGAUGCAGAGGGGGCAGCCGUUGUCCCCCGACAAGUACGUGACCAGCACACCGGCCCCUGAGCCCCAGGUCCCAGGCCUGUUCUUCACCCACAGCACACUGACCGUGUCCGAGGAAGACUGGAACAGAGGGGACAGCUUCACCUGCGUCGUGGGCCAUGAGGCUCUGCCCAACAAGGUCACCGAGAGGACCGUGGACAAGUCCACCGAGGGGGAAGUGAGCGCAGAGGAGGAGGGCUUCGAGAACCUGUGGGCCACCGCCUCCACCUUCAUCGUGCUCUUCCUCCUGAGCCUCUUCUACAGCACCACGGUCACCCUGUUCAAGGUAGAGCAGCAGGUGCAGGGGGAGGCCGCAGGGACGUCAGACCCAGGGCCUGGCACGGCCACCCUCCGUCACCACUGCCCCCGGCUCCUGUCCCCACCUCACAUCACCACCGUCGCCAGUGAAGUGACCACCCAACCGAGGGACAUCAGAGACCAAAGGAACGGAAGCAGGAGGGCUGCCUGCGGGCUGGGGCCCAACCCGUGUGGCCUUCUGGCUUGUGCUUAG